rnacentral:rRNA from 1 species
GCUCAACCGGGGAGGGUCAUUGGAAACUGGGGAACUUGAGUGCAGAAGAGGAGAGUGGAAUUCCACGUGUAGCGGUGAAAUGCGUAGAGAUGUGGAGGAACACCAGUGGCGAAGGCGACUCUCUGGUCUGUAACUGACGCUGAGGCGCGAAAGCGUGGGGAGCGAACAGGAUUAGAUACCCUGGUAGUCCACGCCGUAAACGAUGAGUGCUAAGUGUUAGAGGGUUUCCGCCCUUUAGUGCUGCAGCAAACGCAUUAAGCACUCCGCCUGGGGAGUACGGUCGCAAGACUGAAACUCAAAGGAAUUGACAGGGGCCCGCACAAGCGGUGGAGCAUGUGGUUUAAUUCGAAGCAACGCGAAGAACCUUACCAGGUCUUGACAUCCUCUGACAACCCUAGAGAUAGGGCUUCCCCUUCGGGGGCAGAGUGACAGGUGGUGCAUGGUUGUCGUCAGCUCGUGUCGUGAGAUGUUGGGUUAAGUCCCGCAACGAGCGCAACCCUUGAUCUUAGUUGCCAGCAUUCAGUUGGGCACUCUAAGGUGACUGCCGGUGACAAACCGGAGGAAGGUGGGGAUGACGUCAAAUCAUCAUGCCCCUUAUGACCUGGGCUACACACGUGCUACAAUGGGCAGAACAAAG